ensembl:snRNA U6 U6 spliceosomal RNA
UAGCUCGCUUUGACAGCACAUACACUAAAAUUGGAACACUAGAGAGAUUAGCAUGACCCUUUUGCCCAAGGACAACAUACAAACUCAAGAAGCAUCCCAUAAUUUC